UACGGGGGGGGCAAGCGUUGUUCGGAAUUACUGGGCGUAAAGGGCUCGUAGGCGGCCAACUAAGUCAGACGUGAAAUCCCCAGGCUCAACCUGGGAACUGCGUCUGAUACUGGAUGGCUUGAAUCCGGGAGAGGGAUGCAGAAUUCCAGGUGUAGCGGUGAAAUGCGUAGAUAUCAGGAGGAACACCGGUGGCGAAGGCGGCUAUCUGGACAGAGUCUGACGCUGAGGCGCGAAAGCUAGGGGAGCAAACAGG
rnacentral:rRNA from 1 species